rnacentral:rRNA from 1 species
CUUUUUUUAAUAAAUAAGAAAUAAUACCUGCUCAGUGCGUUAAUUCGUCAACAGCCGCAGUAUUUUGACUGUGCAAAGGUAGCAUAAUCAUUUGUCUUUUAAUUGAAGGCUAGUAUGAAUGGUAAGACGAGAAUUUUUCUGUCUCUUUUUUAAACUAUGAAUUUUAUUUUUAAUUGCAAAAGUUUAAAUGACGUUAAGGGACGAUCAGACCCCGUGGAGUUUUUAGUUGGGGCGACCAAGAGAAAGUCAUAACACUCUUUUCAAUAAACACAAAUUUGUGAAAAAUUGAUCCUAAAAGUUAGAUUAAAAGAUUAAAUUACCCCGGGGAUAACAGCGUUAUAUUUUUGGAGAGUUCAAAUCGAUAAAAGAGUUUGCGACCUCGAUGUUGGAUCAGGACAAUUUUUAAGAUGCAGCAGUCUUAAGCAAAGAGUCUGUUCGACUUUUAAUUUCCUACG